AGCGAACGCUGGCGGCAGGCUUAACACAUGCAAGUCGAGCGGGCAUCCUUUUGGUGUCUGCUGCAGACGGUUGCGUAACGCGUGCGAACGUGCCCUUCGUUUCGGACUAACUCUGCGAAACUUGAGCUAAUACCGGAUACGUGCUAGAGCAGCAUGGUUCCUCUGACCAAGAAUCGGCCCUCUUCUGAUUUGCUAGUUGGUAAGGUUAUGGCGCACCAAGGCGACGAUCAGUAGAUGGGCAGAGAGGAUGAGUAGCCACACUGGCACUGAGACACGGUCCAGAAUAUUACGGGAGGGAGGAGAGGGGAAUAUAGGAAUACGGGGGCAAUGAUGAAGCAGCCAUGGUGCGUGAGUGAUGACGGUCGGAGGGUAGUAAAGCACGUUUAUACGGGACGAUAAUGACGGUACCGGAGGAAUAAGCACCGGCUAACUUCGUG
rnacentral:rRNA from 1 species